GAAAGGUGGUGUGUUAUCCAUAAUGUUUAAAUUGUUCUUUCAAARAAGUGGCAAUAUUUUGGAAGUUCAAAUAAGAAAGAAAAAUCGGAACAUUGGUGACAAACUUUCUGAUGAGUGAUAUGCAAAGUCCAAGGGAUGCUGCUGAAGAUACCAGUAUUUUUAGAGUGGUGCAUGACUUUUGUGGGCAAGAUGUGGACACUUAAGAAAAUACAUCUCUUCCACCUAUAUCUCUGAAUCUCAGUUGUGAGCAGACCAUGGAUAUCUGGCAACAGCUGUGUGUGGAGAACUUUGCUGAGGAGCUAGUCUGUUUUAUUUUUUCCAAAAAUAUUCUCUUGUUUUCCUUUGUUUUGUGGUGACUCAGUAGAUACAAAAUGACCCAGUCUGACUAUAGCCUGUUUAAACUAUAGGGUUAUUCUACCAGACUUGAAAUAAAGAAGCAGAAAUUAGUUAAGAACUUCUGUUACCCUUGUCGCUGUCUGUCAUUCUCUCUGGUAACUUUCAUUAGAAAUGUUCAUCCUGCAGAUGUUAAAAGUGUGGAUGUCAAAUCAUUAUCUACUUUUGCUGUUUUCUCCAGCCUUAUUACAAAAGCA